GAAGCUGGAAUCGCUAGUAAUCGUAGAUCAGCAUGCUACGGGGAAUACGUUCCCGGGUCUUGUACACACCGCCCGUCACACCACGAGAGUUUGUAACACCCGAAGCCGGUGAAGUAACCAUUUGGAGUUAGCCGUCGAAGGUGGGACAAAUGAUUGGGGUGAAGUCGUAACAAGGUAGCCGUAUCGGAAGGUGCGGCUGGAUCACCUCCUUUCUAAGGA
rnacentral:rRNA from 1 species